UACGAAGGGGGCUAGCGUUGCUCGGAAUCACUGGGCGUAAAGGGUGCGUAGGCGGGUCUUUUAAGUCAGAGGUGAAAUCCUGGAGCUCAACUCCAGAACUGCCUUUGAUACUGAGGGUCUUGAGUAUGACAGAGGUGAGUGGAACUGCGAGUGUAGAGGUGAAAUUCGUAGAUAUUCGGAAGAACACCAGUGGCGAAGGCGGCUCACUGGCCCGGUACUGACGCUGAGGUGCGAAAGCGUGGGGAGCAAACAGG
rnacentral:rRNA from 1 species